AUGUUACUCCCUCCGUUCGGAAUUACUUGUCUCGGAAAUGGAUGUAUCUAGAACUAAAAUACAUCUAGAUACAUCCAUUUCUGCGACAAGUAAUUCCGAACGGAGGGAGUAGUAU
rnacentral:pre_miRNA from 1 species